rnacentral:rRNA from 1 species
CCUACGGGCGGCUGCAGUGGGGAAUCUUGCACAAUGGGGGAAACCCUGAUGCAGCGACGCCGCGUGAGUGAGGAAGUAUUUCGGUAUGUAAAGCUCUAUCAGCAGGGAAGAAAAUGACGGUACCUGACUAAGAAGCCCCGGCUAACUACGUGCCAGCAGCCGCGGUAAUACGUAGGGGGCAAGCGUUAUCCGGAUGUACUGGGGGUACAGGGAGCGUAGACGGUUAAUCAAGUCAGAAGUGAAAACCCAGGGCUCAACCUUGGGACUGCUUUUGAAACUGAGUCGCUAGAGUGCAGGAGAGGUAAGCGGAAUUCCUAGUGUAGCGGUGAAAUGCGUAGAUAUUAGGAGGAACACCAGUGGCGAAGGCGGUCUGCUGGACAGCAACUGACGCUGAGGCGCGAAAGCGUGGGGAGCAAACAGGAUUAGAUACCCCUGUAGUC